rnacentral:rRNA from 1 species
UACGUAGGGUGCAAGCGUUGUCCGGAUUUAUUGGGCGUAAAGAGCUCGUAGGCGGCUUGUCGCGUCGACUGUGAAAUCCCGCGGCUCAACCGCGGGUCUGCAGUCGAUACGGGCAGGCUAGAGUUCGGUAGGGGAGACUGGAAUUCCUGGUGUAGCGGUGAAAUGCGCAGAUAUCAGGAGGAACACCGAUGGCGAAGGCAGGUCUCGUGGUACAUUAACUGACGGCUGAGGAAGCGAAAGGCGUAGGGGAGCGAACAGG